rnacentral:rRNA from 1 species
GUACACUCCUGCGGGAGGCAGCAGUGGGGAAUAUUGCACAAUGGGCGCAAGCCUGAUGCAGCCAUGCCGCGUGUAUGAAGAAGGCCUUCGGGUUGUAAAGUACUUUCAGCGGGGAGGAAGGCAAUACGGUUAAUAACCGUGUUGAUUGACGUUACCCGCAGAAGAAGCACCGGCUAACUCCGUGCCAGCAGCCGCGGUAAUACGGAGGGUGCAAGCGUUAAUCGGAAUUACUGGGCGUAAAGCGCACGCAGGCGGUCUGUCAAGUCGGAUGUGAAAUCCCCGGGCUCAACCUGGGAACUGCAUUCGAAACUGGCAGGCUUGAGUCUUGUAGAGGGGGGUAGAAUUCCAGGUGUAGCGGUGAAAUGCGUAGAGAUCUGGAGGAAUACCGGUGGCGAAGGCGGCCCCCUGGACAAAGACUGACGCUCAGGUGCGAAAGCGUGGGGAGCAAACAGGAUUAGAUACCCCGGUAGUCCCAUG